UUUUUUUAUAAUAAAUCCAUUUUUCAUUGGUGUUCAAUUUACCAACAUACAGAAUAACACCCAGUGCUCAUCCCGUCAAGUGCCCCCCUCAGUGCCCGUCACCCAUUCAUCCCCACCCCCCGCCCUCCUCCCCUUCCACCACCCCUAGUUCGUUUCUCAGAGUUAGGAGUCUUUAUGUUCUGUCUCCCUUUCUGAUAUUUCCCACACAUUUCUUCUCCCUUCCCUUAUAUUCCCUUUCACUAUUAUUUAUAUUCCCCAAAUGAAUGAGAACAUACAAUGUUUGUCCUUCUCCGAUUGACUUACUUCACUCAGCAUAAUACCCUCCAGUUCCAUCCACGUCGAAGCAAAUGGUGGGUAUUUGUCAUUUCUAAUGGCUGAGGAAUAUUCCAUUGUAUACAUAAACCACAUCUUCUUUAUCCAUUCAUCUUUCGAUGGACACCGAGGCUCCUUCCACAGUUUGGCUACUGUGGACAUUGCUGCUAGAAACAUCGGGGUGCAGGUGUCCUGGCGUUUCACUGCAUCUGUAUCUUUGGGGUAAAUCCCCAACAGUGCAAUUGCUGGGUCGUAGGGCAGGUCUAUUUUUAACUCUUUGAGGAACCUCCACACAGUUUUCCAGAGUGGCUGCACCAGUUCACAUUCCCACCAACAGUGAAAGAGGGUUCCCUUUUCUCCGCAUCCUCUCCAACAUUUGUGGUUUCCUGCCUUAUUAAUUUUCCCCAUUCUCACUGGUGUAAGGUGGUAUCUCAUUGUGGUUUUGAUUUGUAUUUCCCUGAUGGCAAGUGAUGCAGAGCAUUUUCUCAUGUGCAUGUUGGUACAUGGCCCUUUUGGUUACAGAUUCUGGUUUCUCUACUUUUUGUUCCUUAUCUCAGUUUGGGCACUGAGAUGAUUUUUAGUAUGUCUUAACUUUUUUUUUUUCUUAAUUAAUCCCAGUUCUUAUAGGCGUAGAGUCUCUCCUUCUUUCAAAAUCUUUUACAGGUAUCCUUUUCUACUCCCUUUUACCUUAGACUAAGAUUACUCUUUACUUACUCCAGUGUUCAAGGCAAUGGGCAGCUCUGUACCUAACCUCAUGUCUCAGGCAUCUCAUGCAAAGCAGUGAGACAGAAGUCAGAGUAUAUUGGGUAUUCUGCUAAUACCUGGAGGUCUGGUAUCUUUGGAAGAGGAGAAUCUCCUCUAUGUCCUUUUUACACCAGAUCCUAUGCCACUGUUCCUUCUGAGGUGUUCAGCAUAUUCAGGCUUUCCACUUCCUUAACUCAAUCAUAGAGAUCUAAUAACAUUGAGCACACUGACACAGUGGUGGCCUAACAUAGCCUUUCUAUCAGGAGUCUUCGUUUCAAUAGAAAAAGAUUUAGGAAGAAUUAGGAGUUAUAAUGAACUAAAAAGGCAUUCCCUAGUCCCUAGAACAAUGCAGAGAGUAGAUCUUUGGGGAAGCAACUUCACUGGGGAAGGCAAUAAGAAGUUAACCACAUGAACUCUGCUUUAUUAUUAAGCUACCUGAUGGUCAUUUGGGCUCCAUUUGCAAGUAAGUAUUAAAAAAAAAAAACUAAUAGAAGAUACAGGAUAAAGCAAAAGUUUUGAAUAACACAUUUGCCAGCCUUCUUAUUUCACUUGAAGCCUUUCCCAUUUCUGGGCCUUUUAAAACGGAAGCCCAGAGAAAAUUACAAAACAGAAUUAAACAGCCUCAAGCAGAAGCACAGGCAGCUGAAUUUUGGAGAGAGUAAUAAAACACUAUAAAGUAGUGACAAGAUCCAAAGAUGAGGAAUGGUUUGGAAGGUGUAUUCUAUUGUUUUGUUUUGUUUAGAGGUUCAAGAAACUGACAAAUUCAAUUCUUUGUUCCUUCUUUUUCUCUCCUUCCCUCCCUUUCUUCCUUCCCCAUUCUUCCCUCUCUCCAUCCUUCUCUCUCUCUCACCCCUUCACACCUUCCCUCCUUCCUGUCCUUCCCUUCUAUUUCCCCUUUUCCCUCCCCCUCUCUUUCUCUUAUCAAAAGAGUAAUGCAACUCUGGGCUAAGAACUCGUUGGAUCCUGAGUUCUAAGUGGUCUUGAUCAACUAGAUAGAUUGGCAACUUUAGCACAGGAAGAAUGGAAUUUCCCCGUCUUUGUUUCUUGCUGCCUCCAUGCACCAUGUUCUAGAAAGGGAAAAGAUCAUUGUCAGGGUAGAUGAUUUACUGAAAGAGAUCUGAUCUACUCUAUAUGAGCAGCAACUGAUCUCCAAGUAAUGACACCAAACUUCAGGCCAGAAGUCAGGAAGAAGUACAAAUGAAAUAGAGAGUGAGUGAAUUCCCAGCAGGAUAAAAUAGACAAUAAUGUAGGCUACAAACAUAACUAUAGCUCUGGGUGUUGGAAAUAGGCCCAGGAAACAUUCAUGUAACAUUUUAACAAAGGAAUGAUGAAGAAUGUAUUAAAAGACUAUUGUGGAACUCUUUGAUUUUAUUCCAUCACUUGGGGCUACUGUCCUGGUACAAGCCUCCACCAUCUUCCCAUGGGCCUAUAGCUACUUUAACAGUAUCCCCAAUUCCAGUGACCCUACCUUCCUGUCCAUGCUGUCAUCAGUAUGUUUAUAAAACACAAAUCUAGUUGUGAUGCUCUGCUGUUUAGCCUCCCCAAUGUCUGGUUAUCACCUACAGGAUUAAACACAGACUCUUUAGGAAGGACUUGGCCCACUUCAUCUCCCACAAAUAUCCAACACCAAGAUUCUAUCAAUGUAUUUACCCUCUCAUAUGUACAUUCUGUUAUCUUAAACCUGUAGGUCUUUUCUUUAACUUUUACAUUUUGAACCAAAGACUUCUAGAAAAGUUGAAAAAAUUGUAGAGAUUUUCCAUAAGUUCCUUACUCUAACAUCUUACAUAGAAACAGUUGAUUUAUCAAGUAAAACAAAUUAAUAUUGAGAUAAUAUUCACCAAAUAAAUCAUCUUAUUCAAAUUUCAUGUUUUUCACUAACUUUUUUUCCUGUUCCAAAUCAUAUCUAAGACUCCACCCUUCAUUAGGUAACUCUUCAGUCUCCUGCAGUCUGUAACAGUUCCUCAGUCUUUCCUUAUCUUUCAUUACCUUGACUAUUUUGAAGAGUAUUGACCAGUUGUUUUGCAGAAUAUCCAUCAGUUUUGGUUUGUCUGAUGUUUCCUCAUGAUUGGAAUGAAGUUAUGUGUUUUUGGCAAGAACAGCACAGAAGAGUGUUCUCAGUGCAACACAUCAUGAGAUCCACAAUGUUGGUAUGUUUCAUUACUGGUGAUAUUGACUUCUAUUAGGUGGUUUCUGUAGGACUUUUUUACUGUAAAGUUUCUAUCAUUGCCCUUGUAGUUAAUACAUGUCUUGGGGACAUACUUUGAGACUAUGUAAAUCUUAUUUGUUCUAAAGCUUUUACUCACUAAUUUUAGCAUCCAAUAAUGAACCUUGUCUACAAUUAUUACUGAUGUCUGAUCUUUUUCUCAUUUUAUUAUCCCCUUUGCUUUAAAUAUCUGUCUCCACUUUUUUCUUCAUGGCAAUUUUCUACUCAUCCUGCAUAUCCCAGUUCCAGAUUGUUUCUUUGUUUCUCUUCUGUGGAACUUUUCCAGUCUGCCCCAGGCAGAUGAUCUCCCUUCUCCCCUUCUUCCUUAGCAGCCCACACAUAGCUGUACAAUACACAUCACCAUGUCUGUUGGCUGUUUUUGUUUUCCUGUGAAUCACCCCACAUGAACUUCUUGAGGGUAACUACACUGUCUCAGCAUUUUUUUCUAUCAUUUUUUUCUACAGUGUCAGGUCUAUAAUAGACAUUCAAUAUAUGUUUGAAGAAUAAGUGAAUGAAUGAAUACAUCUGCUAUAUUCUUUCCAGAAUUCAUUUCCAGGCUGAAUAAUUUAGAGUUUUUAUUGUUACAGUUAAAGAACAGCACUCAUUUCUAAAUACAUGAUUCUGAUUUUCUGCCAAAAUUUUACCCCUUUGAGAAAUUCACUUCAUCAUGUUCCUGGCAUAAACCUUAUUUAAUCCUCUAAAAACCAAACUAAAAUCCUGCUUGCUGCUUUUUUUUUUUUCCUACCUCCCCCUUGUCAUAUAAUAGCCUAUCUUUCCCACUGUGAUUCAGUUUGUGAGUGUAUUUUCAGGGGCAGAAGUGAAGAAACUGCUCUUUUAUUCUUUUGCUAAGCUUCUGGGUGUUUCCUACUCUGAUCCUGAUGCAUAAGCUUCCUUAAUCCUUGGCGAUACUUUUCCUCCUGUGUGUUUGCUUUAUUCUGUAAAUUCAAAGGAGGUUUUCUAAAACAGCCUUUAUUCCCCUAAAGAAGCAAAACAAACAAUGGAAAUUGACUUUUUGGCUAACAGUUCUCAUUAUUCUUAUUACAUAAUUAGUGAUUGGAAUCAUUAAUGCAGGAGACCAGGCAUGAAUGUGGAUGAAUAGCUUGCCUGGCCAUGUGCCCAUAGACAUGUCAACAGCAACUAAUAUAAUUGUAGAUGCUAAAAGGAACUUGUCCUUCAUUACCAUUAUCAUCAGCAGCAGCAUCCUGUUAUUGAAACCCAUACCAUGUUGUGUGGUCUACACAGAACCAUACGUACCAUUCCUAAUCUAUGAUAUCACUCAUUUGAACUCUCUUGGUGCUUUGAACCAUCAUAAUACCUCAUUUCAGUUAUUACUUAAAACUGCAUUGUAGUCAUUUGGAGUUGUCUCAUCCUUCUCAGCUCACUGUCUCUGUAAUUCCUUAAUGACUAAGAUCGAGGUUUAUUCUCUCUUAAUCAUUAUUGCCUCUACUAUGCUGAGAACAUAAUAGGAACCCAAUAAGUAUUUGUGGAACUAAAUUGCUUUUCUUCCAUUUAAAACAGAAAACAAAGAAACUGAUAAAUUGGGGAAGAAUGUAUAAAGAAUGAACAAUUAGAGCAUGGUAACUUUCUUUCAUUAAUACAAUAUUAUUCAUGAGCACAUUGUAAGUAGAACAAGGUUUUUGGAAGUUCUGAGAAGUUAGAGAGAGAAAUAAAAAAUUAAUAUUUUAACAAAAAACAUGGACUAUAGAGAGAGACCUGAAAACACAGAAGAUUCAUUUGGAUUUGAUCUAUGUAAUACUUUUCUAAUAUUGGGUGGCAUUCAACCAAAGAA
rnacentral:lncRNA from 1 species